rnacentral:rRNA from 1 species
UGCAAGUCGAGCGGGGGAAGGUAGCUUGCUACCUAACCUAGCGGCGGACGGGUGAGUAAUGCUUAGGAAUCUGCCUAUUAGUGGGGGACAACAUUUCGAAAGGGAUGCUAAUACCGCAUACGCCCUAAGGGGGAAAGCAGGGGAUCUUCGGACCUUGCGCUAAUAGAUGAGCCUAAGUCGGAUUAGCUAGUUGGUGGGGUAAAGGCCUACCAAGGCGACGAUCUGUAGCGGGUCUGAGAGGAUGAUCCGCCACACUGGGACUGAGACACGGCCCAGACUCCUACGGGAGGCAGCAGUGGGGAAUAUUGGACAAUGGGGGGAACCCUGAUCCAGCCAUGCCGCGUGUGUGAAGAAGGCCUUUUGGUUGUAAAGCACUUUAUGCGAGGAGGAGGCUACCGAGAUUAAUACUCUUGGAUAGUGGACGUUACUCGCAGAAUAAGCACCGGCUAACUCUGUGCCAGCAGCCGCGGUAAUACAGAGGGUGCGAGCGUUAAUCGGAUUUACUGGGCGUAAAGCGUGCGUAGGCGGCUUUUUAAGUCGGAUGUGAAAUCCCCGAGCUUAACUUGGGAAUUGCAUUCGAUACUGGGAAGCUAGAGUAUGGGAGAGGA